AAGGGGGAUUUAAAGGUGAAAACCGCCGGAGGAUUGGAAUAUGUCCUAUUAGCUAGUUGGCGGGAUAAAAGCCCACCAAGGCGAUGAUAGGUAGCUGGUCUAAGAGGAUGAACAGCCACAAUGGGAUUGAGAUACGGCCCAUAUUCCUACGGGAAGCAGCAGUAGGGAAUCUUCCACAAUGGGCGAAAGCCUGAUGGAGCAAUGCCAUGUGAAUGAUGAAGGCCAGACAGGUCGUAAAGUUCUUUUAGAGGGGAAAAAUUUGAUGGUACCCUCUGAAUAAGUGACAGCAAACUAUGUGCCAGCAGCUGCGGUAAUACAUAGGUCGCGAGCGUUAUUCGGAUUUAUUGGGCGUAAAGCAAGCGCAGGCGGAUGAAUAAGUUCUGCAUUAAAAGCAGCUGCUUAACAGUUGUUUGUGCCGAAUACUAUUCAUCUAGAAUGUGGUAGGAAGUUUUGGAAUUAAAUAUGGAGCGGUGGAAUGUGUAGAUAUAUUUAAGAACACCAGAGGCGAAGGCGAAAACUUAGGCCAUUAUUGACGCUUAGGCUUGAAAGUGUGGGUAGCAAAUGGGAUUAGAUACCCCAGUAGUCCACACCGUAAACGAUGGGUAUUAGAUGUCGGGAUUUGUGUUUCGGCGUUGUAGCUUACGUGUUAAAUACCCCGCCUGGGUAGUACAUAUGCAAAUAUGAAACUCAAAGGAAUUGACGGGGACCUGAACAAGUGGUGGAACAUGUUGCUUAAUUCGAUAAUACACGAAAAACCUUACCAAGGUUUGACAUCCUUUGCAAAGCCAUAGAAAUAUGGUGGAGGUUAUCAGAGUGACAGGUGGUGCAUGGUUGUCGUCAGCUCGUGUCAUGAGAUGUUUGGUUAAGUCCCGCAACGAGCGCAACCCUACUCUUUAGUUGAUUGUCUAAAGAGACUGAACAGUAAUGUAUAGGAAGGAUGGGAUCACGUCAAAUCAUCAUGCCCCUUAUGCCUUGGGCCCAAAAACGUG
rnacentral:rRNA from 1 species